rnacentral:rRNA from 1 species
UAGCCUUUCGAAAGAAAGAUUAAUACCUGAUGGUAUGAUGAGAUUGCAUGAUAGCAUCAUUAAAGAUUUAUCGGUGUACGAUGGGGAUGCGUUCCAUUAGGUAGUAGGCGGGGUAACGGCCCACCUAGCCAACGAUGGAUAGGGGUUCUGAGAGGAAGGUCCCCCACAUUGGAACUGAGACACGGUCCAAACUCCUACGGGAGGCAGCAGUGAGGAAUAUUGGUCAAUGGACGAGAGUCUGAACCAGCCAAGUAGCGUGAAGGAUGAAGGUCCUACGGAUUGUAAACUUCUUUUAUAAGGGAAUAAACCCUCCCACGUGUGGGAGCUUGUAUGUACCUUAUGAAUAAGCAUCGGCUAACUCCGUGCCAGCAGCCGCGGUAAUACGGAGGAUGCGAGCGUUAUCCGGAUUUAUUGGGUUUAAAGGGAGCGCAGACGGGUCGUUAAGUCAGCUGUGAAAGUUUGGGGCUCAACCUUAAAAUUGCAGUUGAUACUGGCGUCCUUGAGUGCGGUUGAGGUGUGCGGAAUUCGUGGUGUAGCGGUGAAAUGCUUAGAUAUCACGAAGAACUCCGAUUGCGAAGGCAGCACACUAAUCCGUAACUGACGUUCAUGCUCGAAAGUGUGGGUAUCAAACAGGAUUAGAUACCCUGGU